rnacentral:lncRNA from 1 species
GGGAGGCAGCACACUGGGGUCAGGAGUGGAGAUACUUAGGCUCCCCAGAGAAAUUAGUCACAAGUCUUAUCCCUUCAUCUCCAUUUACAGCCAUUUAUUUGGGAGCAACAUACUUUAAAUGAGUGAUAAACAAAAUGUCUCCCCACAGCCCCCACCCCAGCAUGUGUUCUGAAGUUCACAGGAAGGCUUCUCCUCAUUUGCUUUGGGGCCCGCAGGCUGCCUGCUAACAGCUGGGUCUUCCCAUGAACAAAUUAGACAGUUAAUGUUCCAGGAUGAAGAGGGCUUCGGGGAACAGAAUCUGCCGUUUAUUUGACUUGCUUCAUUAGACACAGUGCCAUCAUACCAAAAUUAGAAAAAAGAAGGAACUCAGCGGAAAUCAGCUACACAAGAAGAACCUCUCAGUUCUGAGAAUUCACAUUAACCAGUGAUUAAGAAAUAUUAAAAAGGGCUGAUAGUCCACUACGUUAUCAAGUUCAAAGCCUAAGAAAUAUUGAACAUUUCCACACAUGAAUGUGGGUACUAUGUUUAAUUUGAGAAUGGCCAACUGUCCUCGAAGUCUCAAUCUCUUUGGAGCCUACCAGCUCCGAGAGAAGUUUGAGGAUGCUGCAAAACCCUCCCCUGCAAAUCCAUCUACUCCUCCCACUUCUAUCCUAAUGGGUAUAGUUCUUGGCUGUGCUGAGGAUCUGUAAGGCACCAGAUGUGAAAGUAAGGAAGAAAGAUGGAUGUGGAAGAAAGUCACUGCCCAGAGAAUAAGGAGACCUGGAUUCUAAUCUCAGCUCUGCCAUUAACUAGCUUCUAUACUUUAUCCAAGAAAGAAUAAAUCAUUUCCAAAUAUUUUCAAAGAUGAAACUAUGGCUCAAAAGGGAAUAAGAGAUCAAGGCAAGCAUGGACAUCUUGUACGUGGAAGUGCAGACCAGAACUUGUAUCACAGCCAGUCAUAUCUGGUGCUUUCCAUGCUACUUUUACAUACAUGUAUCCUUAAAUUUGAUCCUCUUCUAGUUUAGUCUAAACUCUUUACUUUGUAACUUCCAAACCUAAAAGGUGCAGCAGACAUUGACAAUCUUAAUUCAUUUGUCAGGUCAUUUGGUUUCUUGGUUUCCUAAGGGACUGUAUCCUUCCUGCCCUGCUAAUGGGGAGACUUUUUGUUUUUUGUUUUCUGUUUUCCUUAAUAAGUGAGGCCAAGUGCUGUGUGUAACUGUGGGGUGGGCAAAAUUAGGAUUCCUGAAUCACUUCACUUUUUGUUGCCUUUCUCUUGGGAGAAUGGUUACCAUUGCAGAGAAGCAUAGUUAAAAUUGCUUUUGUGUUUCAUAAACGAAUUCAUACUUAGAUGUCAUUGACCAACAACUAAAUAGUAUAUCAGAGAUGAAAGGCAUCCUAGAGAUGACCAAAUCAAGCUCUUCAUUACUCAAAGGAGAAAAAAAUCCAGAAAGUGGAUGACAUAUGUUGAACUAGUGAUGGAAGUAGAACAGGGUAGUGUAUUUUCUGCCUCUUAAUUCUUCAUUUUUUACACUAAACCAGAUAUUAGGUAUAUGACUAGGAAGAUACGUGAGGUAAGGAGCAGAGGGUUUGGCUCCAAACUCAUCAUGUAGUCAUCCUCCUCCAAGCUCUGAGAGCUUCUCUCACAUGUUAAUUCAGAGGCAGUAACAAAAGAAUUAAUGCUCCUGAAGGUUUCUCAAUUUUAUCAUCUGGAAAGUGGAGUGAACCUUUGCAGAGUCCUUCUGAAGAGGGCUGACCUUGGACUGCACUAGGUUAUAUUCAUUUGCUAUUACUCAGCAAUAAAAAGUAAAUGCAACAAUAUAAAUGAAUCUUAAAAACAUAAUAUGGAAAGAAAGCAGCCAGACACAAAAGAAUACCUCCUGUUUGGUUUCAUUACCAUAAAACCUAGAACAGACAAAUGAAUAUACUAUGAUUUUAAAAAGAUCAUUAUGAUCAGAAAGCACUUGCCUGUUACAGGAAGGAGAUGGGGAUUGACUGGAAAGGGGCAUGAGAAAACUGUAUGAAAUAUUAUAUAUGGUUUAUAUCUUGUUUGGGGGUGGAUACAUAGCUGUGUAUAAUUGUCAACAGUCAUUGAACUGAGCACUUAAAAUCUCUGCAUUUUAGUGUAUGUAAAUUAAUUUUUAAAAUUAUUUUAAAAGAAAAGUAAAAGGAUAGAAAAAGAUAUACCAUGAAAACAGCAAUCAUACAGAGUUGGGGCAGCUAUACUAAUACUAGAUAAAAUAGUCUGUAAGACAAAAACUUAUUAGAGAUGAAGAGGGACAUUUUAAGUGAUGACAAUUUAUUCAAUAAGGAAGAUGUAACAAGAAUAACAAGUAUGUAUGUACCUAAUAACAAAAUCCCAAAAUACGUAAAGCAACAACUGACAAAAUUGAAGGGAAAGAUAGACAAUUCAACAAUAAUAGUUGAGGACUGGAAUACCUCACUUCCAACAAUAAAGAGAAAAACUGGGCAGAAAACCAACUGGGAUACAGAGACUUGAAAAACAUUGUAAACCAAGUAGAAUCAACACACAUCUAUAGAAAACUCCACCCAACAACAGCAGAAAAUACAUUCUUCUGAAGUGCAUACGGAACAUUCCACAGAAAUAUAUGAUGUGCUAGGCCAUAAAAUAAGCCACAAUAGAUAAUAAAAGACUGAAAUCAUGUAAAUUAGGCUCUAUGCCCACAGAUUUAGAAAUCAAUAACUAAAAGAAAUGUGGGGAAUACACAAAUAUGUGGAAAUUAAGCAACACGUUCAUAAAUAACCAAUAGGUCAAGGGAAAAAAAUAUCACAAGGAAAAUUAGAAGAUACUUGAGAUGAAUGAAAAUAAAAAUACAGCAUACAAAAAAAACCAUGGGAGGAAGUUAAAGCAGCAUUAGAGCUAAAUUUAUAGCAAUAAAUGCUUAUUUCUUUAAAAAAUAUCUCUAAUAAUCUAACCUUUCAAUUUAUGAAACUAUAAAAGAACAAAUGAAACUGAAAGCAAGCAAAAAGGAGAAAAUAAUAAAAUUUCAGUAGAAAUAAAUGAAAUAAAAAAUAAAAUACAUAAAGCAACAGUUGGUUCUUGAACAAAAUUGACAAAUCUUUAGCGAAACUUUAGCAAAAAAGAAGGAGGACUCAAAUUACUCACAUCAGGCAAGAAAGAAGAAACUUGACUACUAACUUUACAGAUAAAAAGAAUUCAAGGGGGAUAAAACGUAAAAAAAAAAAACCUCUAUUGCUAACAAAUUAAAUAAACUAUAUGAUAUGGACAAAUCCCUAGAAAGACACAAAUUAUUGAAACUAACUCAAGAAAUAGAAAAUCUAAAUAGACCUAUAACAGGUAAAAAGAUUGAAUUAGUAAAUAAAAACUUCCCACAAAGAAAGAUUCAGGCCUAGAUGGCUUCCACUGGUAAAUUCUCCCAAAUAUUUAAAGAAGAAUUAAUACCAAUUGUUUAUAAACUCUUUUAGAAAAUAGAAGAAAGGGGAACUCAUUCUAUGAGUUCACUAUUACCCUGAUACCAAUGCCAGACAAAGGCAUGAGAAAAAGAGAACUGCACACCUUUAUGCAUCCCUAUCCUUUAUGAAUAUAGAUGCAAAACUCCAAGAUGAAUCCUGAAACAAAUAAAAAAUUGUACCACAACUAAGAAAGAUUUCUUCCAAGAAUUCAAGAUUGGUUUAACAUCUGAAAAUCAAUUUAUAUAAUAUGCCACAACAAUAAAGAAAAAAAUCACAAUUACUUCAAUAGAUGCAUAAAAUAAUGGAUAAACUCCAACACUCAUGAUUAAACAAAAAAAGAAGAAAACGCUUAAACCAGGAACAAAAAUUAACUUCCUCAAACUACCAGAAACUUACAGCUAACAUCAUACUAAAUUGUAAAGAAUCAAAUGGUCUUCUUUCACUCUCAGAUGUGAAAAUCUCCUAUGUAGAAAAUCCCAAGGUAUCGACAAAAAACAAAAAAAAAAGCUAUUAGAACUAAUAAAUGGGUUCAGCAAGUUUGCUGGAUACAAGAUCAGUAUAGAAAAAUCGAUUGCAUUUCUAUAUAUUAACAAUGAAAAACCAAAAUAAAAUUAAGAAAAUUCUAUUUAUAAAUAACAUCAAAAGGAAUAAAAUUUUUAGGAAUAGAUUUAACAAUUUAAGUAUAAAAUGUAUAUGCUAAAAACUACAAAACACUGUUGAGUGAUACUGAAGAUUAAAAUAAAUGGAAAGAUACACCAUGCUUAUGAAUUGGAGGAUUUAAUAUCGUUAAGAUGGCAAUACUUCCCAUAUUAAUGUACAAACUUAAUGCAAUUCUUAACAAAACUCUUCUGGUGUUUUUACAGAAAUUCACAAGGUGACCCUAACAUGUAUAUAAAAAUGCAAGGGAUCCAGAAUCACUAUAACAAUCUUGAAAAAGAAUAACAAAGUUGAUGGAUUCACACUUCCCAAUUCCAGAACAUACUACAAAGCGACAGUAAUCAUAAUGGUGUGGUACUGGUAUAGGGAUAAACAUAUUAAUCAACAGAAUAGAAUUAAGAGUCCAGUAAAUCCUCACAUUUAUGUUCAAUCGAUUUUCAGUAAAUAGGCAAGACAAUUCAGUGGGCAAAGAAUAAUCUUUAACAAAUAGUGCUGGACAACUGAAUAUCACAUGCAAAAGAAUGAAUUUGCACCCUGACUUCACAAUAGACACAAAUUAACUCAAAGUGUAUUAUAGAUCUAAAUGUAAGAGCUAAAUUACAAAACUCUUUUCAAAACAACUACAAAAUUCAAUCUUCAUGAUCUCGGAUUAGGGAAUGACUCUUCAAAUUAGACACCUAAAGCACAGGUGAUAAAAGAUGGCUAGGUUGGACUUCAUCAAAAUCAAAAACUUUUCUGCUUCAAGGGAUAUUUUUAAGAAAGUAAAAAGAUAACCCUACAGACUGAGAGAAAAAUUUUGAAAAUUGCAUAUUUAGUAAGAUACUUACACCCAAAAUAUAUACAGAACUCUUACAACUCAAUAAAGACAAACAGCCCAUUUUUUUCCAUGAGCAAAUGAUUUAAAUAGAAAUUUCUCCAAAGAAGACAUAUGAAUGGCCAACCAAUAAGCACGUGAAAAAUGUCAAUAUCAAUAGCUAUCAGGGAAAUGCAAAUCAAAAUCACAAAGAAACCAGGGCAGAGUGCCAGAUGCUCCGUACCUUGAAAAGGUUCAAGGAAACUUGAAAGAUCAGAUGACAUUUUUAGUGUAAUCUACAAGUCACUCUUCAAAUGACUUGAAGAUGACUACCUGAAUAUAUACAAUAAAAGUUGGAAAUAUUCAUAGAUAAUAUAAAAUUGAGACAAAAAAGGUCUAGAAAGACUGCAAUGUCAAGAUAUGUAUCAUCAAUUCCUGUACGCUACAGUUAAAUUUUGUUCUGAGUUUUCUGGUGCCAAGAAAAUAGGAAAGGGGUGGGCAAUACAGUAAGAUACAAAGAAAGCUUUUAUUUCAUGACACUUAAUUCUAAAAGAAUAAUCAGGUGAUAUGAAGCCAAUUUCUACAGAUAUGGUCUCUGUCCUCCAAGAGCUCAUAACUCAGAGAAAAAUAAAUAUGCAAAUGAUUAAAAUCAGUGAGGUAACUGCUAUGAAGGACGUAUGUACAAGCUAUACUGGAGGCAUAAGAGAGAGAGUUACCAUUCAGAUGAGGUGGACUCAUGCUCUGAUGUGGUAACAUAUGAGGUAGAUUGGGUAGGAAGGUAAGGCCAGUAGAGGGUGGGAGAACAUUCCAAGCAUCUGCAGAGAUUAAAAUUACCUAAGACGUUUGAGAAAUUGUAAGUGGUCUGAUAUGGCUGCAGUACUGGAUGUGAAGAUAAAAUUAAUGAUAGCUGAGGGUGGCAGGAAAGCUGGGAUCUUGCCAUGUAUAGCCUUAUAUGUCAUGCCAAGGACUUUGGACUUUAACCUGUAGGCAAGGGGAACCAUUGACUGGCAAGCCCUGAGUAGAGAGUCUAGGCCUUAUAAUGGGAAGUUAGUUUCCAGAGAUAACCUAAAGAAUUCCUGCCUUUAGGUUUAAUUCCAAAAGGGUAGUAAUCCACAACCUAGCACUCCAUAACAGUGAUUUAUAUUGGAAUUACUCUCCAAAUUGGAAGAUAUGGUUAAUCUGGGAUUAUAGGACGUGUAAGCUCAAAGUAAUUUCCAUUGUAACUCGUAUAGCUUUCUACUCAGCCCAUGACAUUCCUACCUGGUUCCAGUUCUUGCAAUUCAAAGAGAACAGGUCAAUGUCAGUGUUAACAUGUGGGUAUGAAAACAGCAAGUACCCGCAUAUGAAUUGGAACUGGGCUCACUGAAGAAAGCAUGUAAUUGGAGUGGGAAUAAAAGCAUCCAACUAUUAUACUUGUGUGUGUACACACACACAUUAGAUAUACUGCUACAGAUAUAGAUAGAUGCCAGGUGUGCUGGUCACUUUGCGAAUCUCAUCACACUUUACCUUCAUGACAAUCCAGAAAGGUAAGUACUAAUCCCACUUCACAGAUCAAGACUAUUCUUACUUACAGAAGUUAACAGUGCUCUCUCACUGGCUGGAUUGGCAUGGAUGCCUAUUUUUGAUAGUAUUUCUAAUCCUUACCACUGAAAGCAUUGGAAUGACACUUCAUGUAUUUUUUUCAGUAGAGAAGUAAUAGAAACUAUUCCCCUUAAAUGGCAGAUGUGAUAUCUCAAGCACAAAAGCUUGGGUGACUCACUCAAGUCAAUAACAACUGUAGGACAGGAGCAUUUCCAGUUGGCCCCGUAUUCCUUCUACUUAGUCUUUUUUGUUCUCAUGUAAAUACAAAGUCAUAAAUUUGUGGGGGUUCAUAUUGGCUUUGUUCCUUUUCCCAUCUAGUUACCACAAGAGACCUUUCACUCUCCCUAGUGACACCAUUCAACCUCUACAUAACCCUACAACAAAUACCCACUUCACUACCAUAUCACAUGGCCAGACCAGUGGUCUUUUCCUUUAAUGUUACAUAGAAUAAUAUUAUUUCUCCAUCAAUUAACUCUGAUUGGAAUCAUGAUUAUCACUAGUUUUAUUCUUCAGGCUUGAUAGAGUACCAGCUGUGUCCAACAAAUGUAACAACAGUGGCUUCCAGCCAAGUGCAACUGAGGUUUUUACAAGAAUAGAUACUUCGUGUAUUCUAAUGACAAAAGCACAUAAAUGAGGACUAAUAUUCUGUCUGUGGCAGAGAGAAAAUCCUCUUGACUUUGAAGAGGUUCAAAGGCCCACACACACAGAAAACUGAGUGCUCUGUCAUGCUAUCUGGAUCAAGGGACUCCCCCAAGGGGCCGGCAUCCCGGCCUUAGAAAGAUGUCUGGGCCCUCAUCACUGAGGCCUUUGAAACCUUGUACCAGAAACCCCCAGGGGUGCCUCUCCAGCCUGCUCCCCUGGAACUUCUCAGGUACCCAUGACACAGCCAGAUAACCAGCCAGUUGUCACCUACCAUCUAGGACAGUCUCUUACUCCUACCUGUCCAUGCAUGCUCACUAAACUUGCCCUGCAGCAGAAGUAUGAAUGACUCUUUAUUAAAAUAGACAGGAAAAACAAUAGUGUCUCAUCUCACACCUGCACUAGGAAAAAAUCCUCUGUCUUCCUCUCUCCCUUCUGGGCCCACUCCCUCCAAGUCAUCUCAGAGCUGCUGCCAGCAGCAUGUAAAAUAUGAAUCUGACUUUUUGACCCAUCUGAUUAAAAACUGAAGUUGGAGCACCUCUGGCAGCAGAUUGAAGUCCAAACCCCUUCAAAAAGUAUUCAAGGGCCUUCACAACCUGAUUUCAACAAUAUCCUGAACAGUUUUCCCAUACACUGGAGCUCUGGCCUUCCCAGGUAACUCACUACCCCCUGAAGAUGUUGUACAUUUUCAUUAUAUAUGAUUUUUGUUACUAUUCAAUUUAUCUAGAAUACAUCACAUCCCCUAUCUCACCUCACUCACCUGACAAACUCCCAAUCAUUCUUUGAGAACUAGCUAAAAUGUUCUCACCCCUCUAAUGCUUUCCCUGACCAUCCCAGGCCAAAUUAACCAGUCCUUCCUCUGUGACUCUGCCUAUUGCACUUAUUCUGAUUUUCCCAGCUCAACAGAUGACAGAGCCAAGACUCAAACCCUGGCCUUCUGACUCCAAGUUCUAAGGUCUUUACUUAACCCCUUGCCUACUGUGCAAUAUUACAAAUGGAAUCAUGCGUCAAUUCUGAAUCCCGACUGGCAGGCCAAUUGUGGGUAGUCAGUAAACUUACAGUGGAUGAAUGAAUGAACAACAACCUGAAGGAAGCUUCUACUAUCCCCACCCACCCCCCACCACACACACACACACACACACACACACACACACACAGAGUUUAUUCUUCGAACUGGAAUUUGUAAAGACAGCUUGGUUUCCCAGAUGCAUCCAACUCAUCAGGUACUACAAAUUCUGUAACCAGGCCCCAAUUUAGGGAUACUACAACUAUGCAUCAUGUAAUCAUGUAGGUCCUCCAGUGAUACUCAUCUUGCUCAUUUGGCCAUGGAUAAAGGAGAAAAGAGAGAGAAGUUCCCUUUCAGCACCCUAACACAUCUCUUAAUACAGCCUCUAAGUCUUUGAGUCCUCCAGGAGCCAGCAGCCAAGUCCAAACUAAAAGCAUCACAUGUUGUUUUGGAGAAAGAAGCCAGGGUGUCCACAGUAAUAUAAAUACAGAGACAGAUAGGACGAGCAGGCCCUAUGGAGAGAGGCCAAGCCUGAGAAAGUCAAAGGGCUUUGAGCUCUGAAUUAUGCUCUGUCAAAGAAAAAAAAAAGUAGAAGAUAAAAGAGAAAGAAUAAACAAACUUCUUCAUUUUUACUUUUCACAAAAAAGUCUCUUCUGGAAGCAGCAAAUAAAAUCUUCCCAACUCACUGGGUGCUGAGUAGAGUGUUAAGACACUAGCCCUUGAAGGAAGAAUGAAUAAGCAAUUCAAAGUGGGCUUUUCUGCCCUAGGCUAAAUCUGAAAUCAUCCAUUUUGCCAGCAGUAUUCUGUCUGCCAACCUACCUGCAAAGAAAGGGGCCAUUUAAAACUUCACAUCCACCCGAGAUGGCUGUUGUACAAAACACACACUCACAGGCUCCCCUCAAAGCCUAGUAAGGAAGAAGGAAGAAGGAAAAAGCAAAGGAAAUAUCUGGCAGCUCCUAGACUUUAGGAAUUCCACAAACAAAGCCAUUGCCAACAUCUAUUUGACAGGAUGUAUAGAGAGUUCAUAAAGUAAGUGUUUAUAGAAAUUCCAAAAUGUUUAAAACUAUCUCUUGAUUUUUGAAGGUCACUGUAAUCUAGUCUAUUGGAGAAUGCUAUUGUAGAGUCUUUGGCUAUUGUUACUUAUACCUGCAUAUAUGAAAUCACCACUCCUAAAAACCACGAAUUAGAAGGCUGAUUUGUUUAAAGAAAUACUGUUGUCCAUGAUGGAAGAAGGAUGCUAACUCACAGAGAGAAUGAUGCUGCCUGUGGAACAGAGUCGGAGCUGGCUUUUAUGGAACCUAUUGUCACUUUGAUUAUACACUGUCUAGGACAGGACUGAGGCCCACAUAAUACCAAGCAUACCACAAAUACAAAAAGUGGCAUAGAGGGAAAAAGAGGUCAAAUUAAACAUCAAGGUAGCUAAAAGGAAAAUUGUGUCCGCUGCUCUAAUAUCACAAUCCCAAGGAGAACUGCAGACAUUUGUCCUCGAGUUCCUCAGGUUGCCAGUAAUGAUGUUUCUGGUGAUCUGGCUCAGAAGGCUGAGCUGAUGAGUGAUCACUCAGAAAUACUGAAUCAGGCAAUGGAAAUUCUGAAUCGGUGGGCUCUGGAGAAGGAACUGAGGGCGAGGUGACUCGGGGCCGGAGGGCUAUUAUGGACUAUGGACAAGCUGAAGGCAUGGGAAGCCUGACCAGUAGAUAGAGGAAUAUGAACUUGGUGGACAGGGAAAAGCAGGGACGUCAUGAACGAAAGACCACAGACCCUCUGUUCUAGUCCAUGGGGCCAGGCUGUGCUCCACUGCCUACUCUUGGAUUCCCCAAAGAAUGCUUUAUGUCCUUAUAAUAAAUCCACCUUUCCAUGGACAAAAAUGAGUGUGUCUCUGUGUCUUCAAACCUGAGAGCUAAAACCAAAAAACAUAACUUAUGAUGCUGUAGAAGAAACUUCUACCCCUUUGUACGCAUGGAGAUGUUUCCCAAAUCUACACAAUGAUAGAAAUAACUUGCUGCGUUAAAAAGUA